rnacentral:misc_RNA from 1 species
UUGUAACAAGUUGGACAUGAUUAACAUCUAUGUUCUAACUUGAGGGGGAGUGUUAUAAAAGUCUUUUUCCAUUAGAAGUUGGCUCCUAUAAGAUAUCCUUGUUAGAAAAGGGUUCCUAAUCAAUGUAGAAAUAGAAUUUCAGUCCAUGUAGAAUAGGAGAUAAUUGUAUAUAUAUAUAGCUGUGUAUUAACAACUUUAAAUAUGAAAAUACCUUCAAUUACAGAAAUAUUUGUACCUCAUAUCCAAGUCAUGCUGAACGACUCUGAUUGCUUUCUCUAUUUUAUCAAUUGGAUUAAGAAAAUUGUUGUAGAAGUCUUUUCCCAUUAGAAGU